GGUUUCAGUGGAUUUUUUCAGUAUUGUUCGUAGCACAUCUGCUUAGCACUUGAAAACUUGGUUCACUUUGGUAAGAAAUGCACUAUUGCAGUUUUCUUGUCAUCUUUUUCUAUUCUUACAUAAACGUGCUAUGCUUAUGCUAAAAAAAAAAAAAAAGAAAAAGAAAAAGAAAAAUAAAAAGAGCUUGCUAUCCCUUGUUUGAUUUCAAGCUACGCCUGUAAUGUGCUACAACUUGGCAUGCAAAAUGUCUCCUGACACUUCCAGGAACCUCCUGCUCAGAACAGAAGUCUCCUCUGACCCAGGCUAACCAUUGUUCCUCGCUGCUAGGAUGCCUGGAGUGGUAAGUGGUAAUGUUAGUGACAUGAGAUACUGAGCACUGUAUACAUUUCUGCCUAGUUCAGUUCUUUUAUCUCCCAGUUUGGAUCAAGGGGAUACGGAAAUUUUUGGCAGCACAUAGAGCAUAGACUGCAAAAGUAGCCGGCAGCUUCCAGAUAUCCAUCCACUAAUAUUCACGUUACCUCACAUUGGAGGCAAAGCUGUGCCAUCCUUCAAGCACAUGCCCAGUUGGCCCAAAGCAAACAUGAUUACAUCGCAGCCAAGCUGGUGCUCUUCAUUUUGAUGGGGAGUAUGGCUGCCUGUAACGCAGAGCCCCAUGCUUUGCAGGAAGGUAGGGGAUUCAGCAUACAAGAUCAAACUCUUAACAGCUGUAGCAACGUCUAUAGGGCAGGGUAGAGCUCCUUUAUUUUUGAGCAGCUAUGCCAGCCAUUUGGAGCUCUCUCAGCUCCUCUGCUAGACACAUUUGUAUUUUUCUGGACUGGGAACCAGGAAGAGAAAAAGGGGUGAAUGAGUGGUAUUUAUGGGACUAAAUCCAGUGCCUGGAGUGAGAAA